UCAGGCUUUGAAGGGCAUUUUUGAACUAAUUUACUCAGAUCUGCAAAUAUCUGUGUGUUUGCAGCAAGAGCUGCUUAAGGACCAACUUACUUACCUGGCACACCUGGCUGAACAGCUGGAGAAGGACAAAGAGCAAGAAGAAAUAGAUGAGAAGCUUUUCAAGGAAGAGAAUGAUCGGGUUUGGGCUGAGAGGGUUGAGAAAAUGAAACUAGAGAGGGAAGCUCGAUUUCAGCUGCUGAGAGAUGUCGUGAAUACAAGACAAGAGCAGAUGAAGGAGAAGUUGCAGAAAAAGGCAGAGAAGCAAUUAGAAGUUGCUGAAGAGAGGAAGUUAUUAGCUGAAACGUUCAGAGAAUACAAACGUUUGGAAGAACUAAAACGUGCAAGAAAAGUACAGAAAGCCAACGAGUACCGGGAUCAGCUCACGAGUCAGAUUUCCUACCGACAGCACCUCCGUGAGGAAGAGGAGAAGGAGAGGAAACGGGAAUAUGAGGCAGGUCUGGAAGAACAGAGAGAGUAUGAAGAAAGGGUGCAGUUCAUUCUGUCAGCGCCCCGGGACUCCAUACUAAAAACCCACCCUAUGAGAAAAGCCCUAAUGUCUGACUCGUAGGGGGCAUCACUCACUAUGGUAUUUUAGCUCACUCAGUUGCCUUUAAAAACAUUUUCCUAGAGUGUUUAUACCUGACUAGAGUUAGCAGAAGUCUCUCCACUGUAAUACUCAAAACAUUUAAUUGGAAUUUAUAAGAAAUGCAGUAUUUUGAAGUUUAUUUCUCCCCUGUGGAUAUUUUUUGGGAAAACAACUGAUCCAAUUCGAAGCGUUUGACAUUUUAAUUCAAGAAUACUGUAUGUUCUCUGCAGUGUAAUAGUGUAUUAUUAUGACACUUAAGACACACAGGCAUUCUUUAAAAUCUGCACGAAGAAAAUUUGUGGAAGACUUUCAGCAAACUUUUAUUAAAAUGCCUUUCAAACUGAAAAUAUUUGCAGAAUCCUUUUUUUCUUUAUAUCUAGAUAAAACGUACUUGGUGACUCAAUUUUAGUAGUUAAAUAUAAAACUAUGAAUCUCUUUUACUGUGGGAUGGACAGUAAAGAGCUGAUAUUCUUUUCCAUAAACUCUGAUGGCUGUUGAAUGAUCUGUGGAAUACCAGAGCCCAAAGCCAGUCUGUGAGUCCUCUGCUUGUGCAGAAUUAAUUGUGCAGGGCUGAAGUUAUUAUUUUCUUGUUAUUUUUUAUCACUUUCAUGGCAAGUCUGCCUCUUUGGGUUCCUUGGAUUGUCACCAACACCACAGUCUGAACAGAUGGAAUGGGGGGCCAGAGCACCGACAACACUUCAGGAUGGAGCAACAAAAGAAAUGGCUGGAUGUCAGCAGAGGAGGGUUGGGAGGGUUUUGGCAGUGGGGAGCAGGGACACCUCCUCUCUGCCUUCUCAGCUCCCCGUGUCAAAGGCCAGAUUGCCCUGUGUGCAGAGGAGCAGGGGGUGACACGAGGAGGAUGGGUGGGAGCAAUCCAUCUUCUCCCCGUGCCAUUGCCCUCAACCAGCUCCUUCCUGUGUAUUCAAUUAGUUUUCUCUCAGUCCUUUGCAGAGGAGGGAGGUGAAGAAUCCAUUUAAAACCU
ensembl:lncRNA